rnacentral:rRNA from 1 species
GACGAACGCUGGCGGCGUGCUUAACACAUGCAAGUCGAACGAAGAGCGAUGGAAGCUUGCUUCCAUCAAUCUUAGUGGCGAACGGGUGAGUAACGCGUAAUCAACCUGCCCUCCAGAGGGGGACAACAGUUGGAAACGACUGCUAAUACCGCAUACGAUCUAACCUUGGCAUCGAGGAUGGAUGAAAGGUGGCCUCUAUUUAUAAGCUAUCACUGAAGGAGGGGAUUGCGUCUGAUUAGCUAGUUGGAGGGGUAACGGCCCACCAAGGCGAUGAUCAGUAGCCGGUCUGAGAGGAUGAACGGCCACAUUGGGUUGAGACACGGCCCAGACUCCUACGGGAGGCAGCAGUGGGGAAUCUUCCGCAAUGGACGAAAGUCUGACGGAGCAACGCCGCGUGAGUGAUGACGGCCUUCGGGUUGUAAAGCUCUGUUAAUCGGGACGAAAGGCCUUCUUGCGAAUAGUAGAAGGAAUGACGGACCGGAAAAAAG